ensembl:lncRNA
UUAUUGUGUGUGCUGAGGGACGAAGGCUGCACGUGGUUUCAAUUUUGAAGCACAAAGAAAUAACAGGCAAUGCAGAAAAUAGGUUUAUGAAUGUAAUUGAGAGGAAAGAAAACAAUUAACACGGUGCAAGGUUGCACACUCGGUUGGCCACCCCUCGCCUUCUCCUCUACCCCAAUUUUGAGCAAUCCGGGAUCAUGGGAAUAGAGUGGAUCCAGGCAGUUGGAGGCAGCUGACAAGGCAACCCCUGAAGGAGAUCACAGUGAUGGGUGGAUAAUGUGUCUAUCCAUCUCCUAGUCGGCUGAGGCCUCCUCCAACCAAGCUGAGAGAAAGAGAUCAAAUCCCCAAGCCCAAGAUCUGGAGGAGAAAAAGAUUUCUCCGUGGAAGCUGGAGCCUGAACUUACAUUUGGUUGUUGGAGAUUCUGGGUAUUAAAGAAAAGAAAAGAAAAGAUCCUAGGAUCUCGCCUGAUCUUUUACUCUGCUUUUAGAAACUUUCAUCCCCAAGAAGGAAACUUUUUUGCUAUAAUAGGCUUGUUGAAACUCCAAGCUUAAAUGAGACAGAAAAUCCUCUGAAAAAUAUUUUGCCUUUUCUCCUUGUUGACACGCAGAGAGGUGGAUGUUUAUAUGUUUGGCUCACAGACACAUGUAAAUCUGGUACUUGUAGUUAAAAGAUUUCUAGACUAUAGCAACCAGGGGUUGUUUGAGCUUUUUGUUUCUCUUCUUUCUUCAGCUUGCUUUUGUGGGGUUUUUUUUGUUGUUGUUGUUAUGAUGAGAUUCAUUUUAUUUUCUAUAAUAAAUAUCCUGCUAUUACUUUAUCACUCUUCGUUGUUUAAAUGAACUUCUUUCAAGAUUAAAUAAGAUCUAGUUUUUGUACUAUCAGAAAUAAGCAAUUUUAGAGGUCUCUACUAUUUUAAGAAACAUUUAAAAAUAAUAUUCAUUCAAGCAACUUUAAUCACCUUACACCUAUUGGGGAGAAAAGUGUGUUUUCACCAUAUUUCACAGGGAUAAAUAUGUAUCCACUUUGCUUUCCUAGAUCCUCUGCCUUGAACCACCAUCAAAGGA